UACAGAGGUCUCGAGCGUUAGGCGGAAUCACUGGGCUUAAAGCGUGUGUAGGUGGAUCGUUAAGUACCUUGUGAAAUCCCACGGCUUAACCGUGGAACUGCUUGGUAUACUGGCGGUCUUGAGCCAGCUAGGGGCUACCGGAACAAAUGGUGGAGCGGUGAAAUGCGUAGAUAUCAUUUGGAACGCCAAUGGUGAAAACAGGUAGCUGGGGCUGUGCUGACACUG
rnacentral:rRNA from 1 species